UACGUAGGGAGCAAGCGUUGUCCGGAAUCAUUGGGCGUAAAGCGCGCGUAGGUGGCCCGAUAAGUCCGCUCUGAAAGUCACAGGCUCAACCUGUGAAAGCGGGUGGAUACUGUCGGGCUAGAGUCCGGAAGAGGCGAGUGGAAUUCCUGGUGUAGCGGUGGAAUGCGCAGAUAUCAGGAGGAACACCAACGGCGAAGGCAGCUCGCUGGGACGGUACUGACACUGAGGCGCGAAAGCGUGGGGAGCGAACAGG
rnacentral:rRNA from 1 species